UACGUAGGGACCAAGCGUUGUCCGGAAUCAUUGGGCGUAAAGAGCGUGUAGGCGGCUUGUUAAGUCUUGCGUGAAAUCUCGGGGCUCAACCCCGAGCGGUCGUGAGAAACUGGCAGGCUAGAGUGCGGGAGAGGAGAGUGGAAUUCCUGGUGUAGCGGUGAAAUGCGCAGAUAUCAGGAAGAACACCCGUGGCGAAGGCGGCUCUC
rnacentral:rRNA from 1 species